rnacentral:rRNA from 1 species
GAACGCGAAGAACCUUACCAGGCCUUGACAUCCUAGGAACCCUGAUGAAAGUCGGGGGUGCCCGGCAAGGGAACCUAGAGACAGGUGCUGCAUGGCUGUCGUCAGCUCGUGUCGUGAGAUGUUGGGUUAAGUCCCGCAACGAGCGCAACCCUUGUCCUUAGUUGCUAACGGGUAAGCCGAGCUCUCUAGGGAGACUGCCCGCGAAAGCGGGAGGAAGGCGGGGAUGACGUCUAGUCCGCAUGGCCCUUACGGCCUGGGCGACACACGUGCUACAAUGCCCGGCACAGAGCGCUGCCACAUCGCAAGAUGGAGCGAAUCGCCUAAAUCCGGGCUCAGUUCGGAUUGGGGUCUGCAACCCGACCCCAUGAAGCUGGAAUCGCUAGUAAUCGCGGAUCAGCCAUGCCGCGGUGAAUACGUUCCCGGGUCUUGUACACACC